rnacentral:snRNA from 1 species
GGAUGUGAGGGCGAUCUGGCUGCGACAUCUGUCACCCCAUUGAUGCCAGGGUUGAUUCGACUGAUCUGGCUGGCUAGACAGGUGUCCCUUCCUCCCUCAGCGCUCCAUGUGCAUCCCUCCCGAAGCUGCACACUCCGGUGAAGAGGAUGACCUUCCUCGAUAUAGACGUACCGUUCAUCGGUCAAGGGUAUACGGUACCUGCGCUCCCCUGCUAGAACCUCCAAACAAGCUCAAGCGGGGCACACCUGCUCUACUCCUUACAGAUGUAUGGAACAGGGACAU